AGAAUCAACGCUGGCGGCGUGCCUAACACAUGCAAGUCGCACGAGAAAGGGACUUCGGUCCUGAGUAAAGUGGCGCACGGGUGAGUAACACGUGAAUCAUCUACCUCCGAGUGGGGAAUAACCUAGAGAAAUCUGGGCUAAUACCGCAUAACACUUACGAGUCAAAGCAGCAAUGCGCUUGGAGAGGAGUUCGCGGCAGAUUAGUUAGUUGGCGGGGUAAUGGCCCACCAAGACGAUGAUCUGUAUCCGGCCUGAGAGGGCGCACGGACACACUGGAACUGAAACACGGUCCAGACUCCUACGGAGGCAGCAGUGGGGAAUUUUGCGCAAUGGGGGAAACCCUGACGCAGCAACGCCGCGUGGAGGAUGAAAUAUCUUGGUAUGUAAACUCCUUUCGAUGGGGAAGAUAAUGACGGUACCAUAGAAGAAGCCCGGCUAACUUCGCGCCAGCAGCCGC
rnacentral:rRNA from 1 species